GAUGAACGCUGGCGGCGUGCUUAACACAUGCAAGUCGAACGAUGAAGCCCAGCUCGCGGGGUGGUUUAGUGGCGAACGGGUGAGUAACACGUGAGUAACCUGCCCUUAACUUUGGGAUAAGCCUGGGAAACUGGGUCUAAUACCGGAUAGGAGUGUACAUCGCAUGGCGGGUGUCGGAAAGAUUUAUCGGUUUUGGAUGGACUCGCGGCCUAUCUGCUUGUUGGUGGGGUAAUGGCUCUCCAAGGCGACGACGGGUAGCCGGCCUGAGAGGGUGACCGGCCACACUGGGACUGAGACACGGCCCAGACUCCUACGGGAGGCAGCAGUGGGGAAUAUUGCACAAUGGGCGAAAGCCUGAUGCAGCGACGCCGCGUGAGGGAUGACGGCCUUCGGGUUGUAAACCUCUUUCAGUAGGGAAGAAGCGAAAGUGACGGUACCUGCAGAAGAAGCACCGGCUAACUACGUG
rnacentral:rRNA from 1 species